UAUUUUCAGUGGCGAGCUUAACCGAAUAGGGGAGGCGUAGCGAAAGCGAGUCUUAAUAGGGCGAAUGAGUUUGUGGGAUCAGACCCGAAACCGAGUGAUCUAGGCAUGACCAGGAUGAAGGUAAGGUAACACUUACUGGAGGUCCGAACCCACACCUGUUGAAAAAGGUCGGGAUGAGUUGUGCCUAGGGGUGAAAGGCCAAUCAAACUCGGAGAUAGCUGGUUCUCCGCGAAAUCUAUUUAGGUAGAGCGUCACGUGAAUACCCUCGGGGGUAGAGCACUGGAUGGGCUAGGGGGACUCACCGUCUUACCAAACCUAACCAAACUCCGAAUACCGAUGAGUAAUAUCUGGCAGACACACUACGGGUGCUAAGGUCCGUAGUGGAAAGGGAAACAGCCCUGACCGCCAGCUAAGGUCCCUAAGUUAUGGCUAAGUGGGAAAGGAUGUGAGAGUGCAUAGACAACCAGGAUGUUGGCUUAGAAGCAGCCAUCAUUUAAAGAAAGCGUAACAGCUCACUGGUCAAGCGCUCUUGCGCCGAAAAUGUACCGGGGCUAAAGCCAUACACCGAAGCUGCGGAUGCACAUUUAUGUGCGUGGUAGCGGAGCGUUCUGUAAGCCUGUGAAGGGUGACCCGCGAGGGCACCUGGAGAUAUCGGAAGUGAGAAUGCUGACAUGAGUAGCGACAAAGA
rnacentral:rRNA from 1 species